GACGAACGCUGGCGGCGUGCCUAAUACAUGCAAGUCGAACGAACUCUGGUAUUGAUUGGUGCUUGCAUCAUGAUUUACAUUUGAGUGAGUGGCGAACUGGUGAGUAACACGUGGGAAACCUGCCCAGAAGCGGGGGAUAACACCUGGAAACAGAUGCUAAUACCGCAUAACAACUUGGACCGCAUGGUCCGAGUUUGAAAGAUGGCUUCGGCUAUCACUUUUGGAUGGUCCCGCGGCGUAUUAGCUAGAUGGUGGGGUAACGGCUCACCAUGGCAAUGAUACGUAGCCGACCUGAGAGGGUAAUCGGCCACAUUGGGACUGAGACACGGCCCAAACUCCUACGGGAGGCAGCAGUAGGGAAUCUUCCACAAUGGACGAAAGUCUGAUGGAGCAACGCCGCGUGAGUGAAGAAGGGUUUCGGCUCGUAAAACUCUGUUGUUAAAGAAGAACAUAUCUGAGAGUAACUGUUCAGGUAUUGACGGUAUUUAACCAGAAAGCCACGGCUAACUACGUGCCAGCAGCCGCGGUAAUACGUAGGUGGCAAGCGUUGUCCGGAUUUAUUGGGCGUAAAGCGAGCGCAGGCGGUUUUUUAAGUCUGAUGUGAAAGCCUUCGGCUCAACCGAAGAAGUGCAUCGGAAACUGGGAAACUUGAGUGCAGAAGAGGACAGUGGAACUCCAUGUGUAGCGGUGAAAUGCGUAGAUAUAUGGAAGAACACCAGUGGCGAAGGCGGCUGUCUGGUCUGUAACUGACGCUGAGGCUCGAAAGUAUGGGUAGCAAACAGGAUUAGAUACCCUGGUAGUCCAUACCGUAAACGAUGAAUGCUAAGUGUUGGAGGGUUUCCGCCCUUCAGUGCUGCAGCUAACGCAUUAAGCAUUCCGCCUGGGGAGUACGGCCGCAAGGCUGAAACUCAAAGGAAUUGACGGGGGCCCGCACAAGCAGUGGAGCAUGUGGUUUAAUUCGAAGCUACGCGAAGAACCUUACCAGGUCUUGACAUACUAUGCAAAUCUAAGAGAUUAGACGUUCCCUUCGGGGACAUGGAUACAGGUGGUGCAUGGUUGUCGUCAGCUCGUGUCGUGAGAUGUUGGGUUAAGUCCCGCAACGAGCGCAACCCUUAUUAUCAGUUGCCAGCAUUAAGUUGGGCACUCUGGUGAGACUGCCGGUGACAAACCGGAGGAAGGUGGGGAUGACGUCAAAUCAUCAUGCCCCUUAUGACCUGGGCUACACACGUGCUACAAUGGAUGGUACAACGAGUUGCGAACUCGCGAGAGUAAGCUAAUCUCUUAAAGCCAUUCUCAGUUCGGAUUGUAGGCUGCAACUCGCCUACAUGAAGUCGGAAUCGCUAGUAAUCGCGGAUCAGCAUGCCGCGGUGAAUACGUUCCCGGGCCUUGUACACACCGCCCGUCACACCAUGAGAGUUUGUAACACCCAAAGUCGGUGGGGUAACCUUUUAGGAACCAGCCGCCUAAGGUGGGACAGAUGAUUAGGGUG
rnacentral:rRNA from 3 species